GGUAGGUUCUGGUUGGAAUUAGGUGAUGAGGUUGUGUACUGUUGGUGUUCUUGAUCUCACCUUGAACCCAAUUGAAUAGGGAAGGAUUUCAGGAGGAUUAUGUUCUGUGGAAACCAGUGAGGAUCUGAGAAGGUGAUCUUGGUUCCGAUAGGAAUAACCAUUUGAUCCAGCAUCAAUAGCAGCUGGGACUUGAGGACUUUGAUUCGAGACGGGCGUCUGGACGUUGACUUCGGAUUUGGAU